rnacentral:rRNA from 1 species
ACCGGCGAUGUCCGAAUGGGGAAACCCAGUGCAAUUCGUUGCACUAUCGUUAACUGAAUACAUAGGUUAACGAGGCGAACCGGGGGAACUGAAACAUCUAAGUACCCCGAGGAAAAGAAAUCAACCGAGAUUCCCCCAGUAGCGGCGAGCGAACGGGGAGCAGCCCAGAGUCUGAAUCAGCUUGUGUGUUAGUGGAACGGUCUGGAAAGUCCGACGGUACAGGGUGAUAGUCCCGUACACCAAAAUGCACAGGCUGUGAACUCGAAGAGUAGGGCGGGACACGUGGUAUCCUGUCUGAAUAUGGGGGGACCAUCCUCCAAGGCUAAAUACUCCUGACUGACCGAUAGUGAACCAGUACCGUGAGGGAAAGGCGAAAAGAACCCCGGCGAGGGGAGUGAAAAAGAACCUGAAACCGUGUACGUACAAGCAGUGGGAGCACCUUCGGGUGUGACUGCGUACCUUUUGUAUAAUGGGUCAGCGACUUAUAUUCUGUAGCAAGGUUAACCGUAUAGGGGAGCCGCAGGGAAACCGAGUCUUAACUGGGCGUUAAGUUGCAGGGUAUAGACCCGAAACCCGGUGAUCUAGCCAUGGGCAGGUUGAAGGUUGGGUAACACUAACUGGAGGACCGAACCGACUAAUGUUGAAAAAUUAGCGGAUGACUUGUGGCUGGGGGUGAAAGGCCAAUCAAACCGGGAGAUAGCUGGUUCUCCCCGAAAGCUAUUUAGGUAGCGCCUCGUGAACUCAUCUUCGGGGGUAGAGCACUGUUUCGGCUAGGGGGUCAUCCCGACUUACCAACCCGAUGCAAACUACGAAUACCGAAGAAUGUUAUCACGGGAGACACACGGCGGGUGCUAACGUCCGUCGUGAAGAGGGAAACAACCCAGACCGCCAGCUAAGGUCCCAAAGUCAUGGUUAAGUGGGAAACGAUGUGGGAAGGCACAGACAGCCAGGAUGUUGGCUUAGAAGCAGCCAUCAUUUAAAGAAAGCGUAAUAGCUCACUGGUCGAGUCGGCCUGCGCGGAAGAUGUAACGGGGCUAAACCAUGCACCGAAGCUGCGGCAGCGACACUAUGUGUUGUUGGGUAGGGGAGCGUUCUGUAAGCCUGCGAAGGUGUGCUGUGAGGCAUGCUGGAGGUAUCAGAAGUGCGAAUGCUGACAUAAGUAACGAUAAAGCGGGUGAAAAGCCCGCUCGCCGGAAGACCAAGGGUUCCUGUCCAACGUUAAUCGGGGCAGGGUGAGUCGACCCCUAAGGCGAGGCCGAAAGGCGUAGUCGAUGGGAAACAGGUUAAUAUUCCUGUACUUGGUGUUACUGCGAAGGGGGGACGGAGAAGGCUAUGUUAGCCGGGCGACGGUUGUCCCGGUUUAAGCAUGUAGGCUGGUUAUCCAGGCAAAUCCGGAUAAUCAAGGCUGAGGUGUGAUGACGAGGCACUACGGUGCUGAAGUAACAAAUGCCCUGCUUCCAGGAAAAGCCUCUAAGCAUCAGGUAACAUCAAAUCGUACCCCAAACCGACACAGGUGGUCAGGUAGAGAAUACCAAGGCGCUUGAGAGAACUCGGGUGAAGGAACUAGGCAAAAUGGUGCCGUAACUUCGGGAGAAGGCACGCUGGUGUGUAGGUGAAGUCCCUGCGGAUGGAGCUGAGACCAGUCGAAGAUACCAGCUGGCUGCAACUGUUUAUUAAAAACACAGCACUGUGCAAACACGAAAGUGGACGUAUACGGUGUGACGCCUGCCCGGUGCCGGAAGGUUAAUUGAUGGGGUUAUCCGUAAGGAGAAGCUCUUGAUCGAAGCCCCGGUAAACGGCGGCCGUAACUAUAACGGUCCUAAGGUAGCGAAAUUCCUUGUCGGGUAAGUUCCGACCUGCACGAAUGGCGUAAUGAUGGCCAGGCUGUCUCCACCCGAGACUCAGUGAAAUUGAACUCGCUGUGAAGAUGCAGUGUACCCGCGGCAAGACGGAAAGACCCCGUGAACCUUUACUAUAGCUUGACACUGAACAUUGAGCCUUGAUGUGUAGGAUAGGUGGGAGGCUUUGAAGCGUGGACGCCAGUCUGCGUGGAGCCAACCUUGAAAUACCACCCUUUAAUGUUUGAUGUUCUAACGUUGGCCCCUGACCGGGGUUGCGGACAGUGUCUGGUGGGUAGUUUGACUGGGGCGGUCUCCUCCCAAAGCGUAACGGAGGAGCACGAAGGUUAGCUAAUCCUGGUCGGACAUCAGGAGGUUAGUGCAAUGGCAUAAGCUAGCUUGACUGCGAGCGUGACGGCGCGAGCAGGUGCGAAAGCAGGUCAUAGUGAUCCGGUGGUUCUGAAUGGAAGGGCCAUCGCUCAACGGAUAAAAGGUACUCCGGGGAUAACAGGCUGAUACCGCCCAAGAGUUCAUAUCGACGGCGGUGUUUGGCACCUCGAUGUCGGCUCAUCACAUCCUGGGGCUGAAGUAGGUCCCAAGGGUAUGGCUGUUCGCCAUUUAAAGUGGUACGCGAGCUGGGUUUAGAACGUCGUGAGACAGUUCGGUCCCUAUCUGCCGUGGGCGCUGGAGAAUUGAGGGGGGCUGCUCCUAGUACGAGAGGACCGGAGUGGACGCAUCACUGGUGUUCGGGUUGUCAUGCCAAUGGCACUGCCCGGUAGCUAAAUGCGGAAGAGAUAAGUGCUGAAAGCAUCUAAGCACGAAACUUGCCCCGAGAUGAGUUCUCCCUGAGACU